rnacentral:tRNA from 1 species
GGACGCUUAGAUCAGCGGUAGAUCGCUGCCUUCACACGGCAGAAGUCACUGGUUCAAAUCCAGUAGCGUCCA